GUGAUGCUAGUUAUGGGGAAGACAUCUACGUGGCUUUCAAUGCACAUGACUAUUUUGUGAAAGCUUUAAUACCUUCAGCGCCACAUCAGAAGCGCUGGCACAGAGUGGCUGACACAAAUUUGGAAUCGCCCGAGGAUUUCGUCCCAGAUGGCAUACCUUUCACCGGAACUACCUACAGUGUUGCGCCCUUUUCUUCUGUUCUUCUCAAGGCCAAACAUUGAAACGGUA
rnacentral:misc_RNA from 1 species